UACGUAGGGGGCAAGCGUUGUCCGGAUUUAUUGGGCGUAAAGCGCACGCAGGCGGUUCAUUAGGUUUGGAGUGACAGUUCCUGGCUCAACUGGGAAAGUGCUUCGAACACUGGUGAACUUGAGGGCUUCAGAGGGACACGGAAUUCCGGGUGGAGUGGUGAAAUGCGUUGAUAUCAUCAGGAGCACCGGAGGCGAAGGCGGCUCACUGGGGGUCUUCUGACGCUGAGGAACGAAAGCCAGGGGAGCGAACGGG
rnacentral:rRNA from 1 species